rnacentral:rRNA from 1 species
CAGUCGCCGCGGGAAUACGAAGGGGGGCUAGCGUUGUUCGGAAUUACUGGGCGUAAAAGGCGCGUAGGCGGCCAUUCAAGUUAGAUGUGAAAGCCCUGGGCUCAACCUAGGAAUUGCAUUUGAUACUGUUUGGCUUGAGUUCGGGAGAGGUGAGUGGAAUUCCCAGUGUAGAGGUGAAAUUCGUAGAUAUUGGGAAGAACACCAGUGGCGAAGGCGGCUCACUGGACCGACACUGACGCUGAGGCGCGAAAGCGUGGGGAGCAAACAAGAUUAGAUACCCCGGUAGUCCCUGUCUCUUAUA